GACCCACACGCACUCAACGCAGCUUUAACCUUACAAAACUAGAUGAUUGGAAGAGAUGAUCUGGAAAUCCACUUCUCAUUUCUGUCCAGGUCCAGGUCCAGGUCCAGCCUCUGUUUCCCCUUUAGUUCAGUGGAUGUGGUCUGGUCUUCAUCCUGGUAGUACUAUCUCCUGUUGUAGAGGUCCUUACGCUUUCGCAGCUCCUCCAGUACCCGAGCCCUGAAGCGGGUCCAGUCCUCAUCCUGGAACUGCUGGAGGCCCAGGGCCAGAUGGAGCUCAGCAGAGUGGCUCCGCAGGAACGGAUUGUACUCCUUCUCUUCGCCAAUAGUAGAAGGACUCUGAAAAUAAAGUGUGUGUCAAACAGCAGCCUUAGAACAAAAAACACAGACUUCCUCUGUGUGGAGGCUUGAAUUCAAUCUGAGAGGGAAUUAUGGGU